rnacentral:lncRNA from 1 species
UGGAAAGGGAAGAGAAGAAAGAAAACAGUGGAGCAAUCAGAUCAGACAGAUGUGUAAAGGCAUCAUUCCAGCAGGGACUGGCAAACAAUAUUUCCUUUUAUCUAUGCCCACCUGGCUACAGGUCCACGUAUGCUCAGAUUCUCUUCUGCCUCUGCCGCCCUGAGACAGCAAGACCAACCCCUUCUCCUCCUCUUCCUCCUCCUCAGCCUACUCAACGUGAAGAGGAUGAGAAUGAAGACCUUUAUGAUGACCCGCAUCCACUUAAUGAAUAAUGCACAAGCAACCCACCAGGAACACUGAAAGCUGCCGAACUGCAUUCAGUAAACAUUCACAACCAGGUUAUAAUUUUCAUUUUUAAAGACAUGGCCAUCUACCUCCCUCCAACAAUUCUGUGUUCCCUUCCAAAAGGUUUCACUGAUCCAGCAUGAAGAGAGUGCAUGUCUUUCCCCUUUGUACUCAGACCAUGGGGGCCUAUUCACAGCCUUAAAGGCUCCUUGUACCCCUUGAUCCUGUCCCCA